UAUGUGAUCGUCUCUCGCAUAUCAAUAAGCGGAGGAAAAGAAACUAACAAGGAUUCCCUUAGUAACGGCGAGUGAAGCGGGAAGAGCUCAAAUUUGAAAUCUUCAAGGUUUUACCUUGACGAAUUGUAGUUUAAAGAAGUGUUUUCUGUUGAAGUUUUGGUAAAAGUUCUUUGGAAUAGGACAUCAUAGAGGGUGAGAAUCCCGUAUUUGACCAUUAUUUUCAGCUGUGUGAUACACUUUCAAAGAGUCGGAUUGUUUGGGAAUGCAGUCCAAAGUGGGUGGUAAAUUUCAUCUAAAGCUAAAUAUUGGCGAGAGACCGAUAGCGAACAAGUACCGUGAGGGAAAGAUGAAAAGAACUUUGAAAAGAGAGUUAAACAGUACGUGAAAUUGUCAAAAGGGAAGCGUUUGACACCAGUGUUGUUUUCUCGAAAAUCAAUUAAAAAGAGUUAGAUUUUGUUGUGUAUUGACCUUAACAGCUUGCAUUUCAAUUUUCUUGCUUUUUUUAAUGCACUCUUCGUUUAACAAGUCAACAUCAGUUUCUUUUGUUGUAAAAAGGUCAUUGGAAGGUGGCUUUCUUUUCGGAGAAAGUGUUUAUAGCCUUUGACUCCUGCAAUCGGAGAGACUGAGGUCUGCAGCGUAGGAUCCUUCGGGGUUAGAUACAUUUGUGCUAAGUUAUAGCUUUUUAUAGACAACUUGUCGACUAUGAUUAGUCUUGUAGCUUACUCGCUUAUGCUAUUUUACCUACGCUUAGGAUGUUGAAGAUGUAGCACAUCAU
rnacentral:rRNA from 1 species